AGUAUGUCACAAUCAUUAAAGGGCACAGAAGUUCCGUCUUGAUGCUCAAUUUGCAGCUUGGAAUCAGCUAUAUGCAAUUUUGCAACUGUAUUAUGUUCAUUGGUUCAAACUGGCUUAGUUAUCUGAACCCAUAUAUAGUCCCAGUUGUUCCUGGUAGUACAAAUUUGAAUUGUAGAAAGCUUAUGACUUUAGCUAAACGAUCCAAAUAUCCAAAUGCUUGAGAGUAGAGAUUCAGUUCACUUCUUGCAUCUUAUGCUAGGAAUCUGAAUAUCACAUCAGUUGUUAUUUGAUAUCCAUUAUGUUUUUCUGUGUAACAUCAGUGAUGAAUGCAUGCUAAAAUGUGAUCAGGUAUACCGUUGGACAAAUUGCACCUGUACAGAGGUGAGAAGCUUGCUUGUCAGAUUUUGGUCAAAGAGCAAGCUUUUGGAUGAAUUUUCCAAAAGAUUGAUCACAGUUAACCCCACCCCAUCAAUCUGAUGAUUUUAAGUGGAAACACUACCAUGCAAACAUCUUUAGGAAUUUGAAGGAGAAGUUCAAGAUAGAUGCUAUUGACCAUGUGACGUCCAUUUGUGGAAAUGGUUCUCUUAGGGAACUUUUCUCUCCUGGAAGAAGUGGUAGCAUCUUUUUCCUGUCUCAAGAUGAUUGCUUUAUGAUUAAGACGCUCCAGAAAUCUGAAGUGAAGUUUGUUAGAAGACAUAUUGACUGUCAAACAUGUCUUCCUCAUUUACCUCCUUUCUCUCUCUCUCUCUCUCUCUCUCUUUUGAGAGGGUGAAAUUAUGAAGGAAACUUUUAAGCUGGAGCUUGGUAAAGUAACUCCAUAGAUACCUUACAUGCACUGGUGAUGUUUCUGAGCGCUUGAGAACUGUUCUUGAUGCCACGCAACUUUGACCGCUUUAAUGGGUUUCCCAAGCCAUGGGAAGCAGCGACUGGCCGUUGCUCUCUGAUUUGCCCAUGCCCCGUGGAUAAGAUCUCUCUUUCUAUCUCACUCUCCCUAGCUGCUCGAAUGGAAAGGGCAGGGUCUGGGUGGCAUGAAGGACAAGGUGGUGUUGAUGCUUCUUACAUAGUUUGACUAUCCUACAAGAAGUGCUAGUUGUUGUAUGAUAAAUAUAUACAUAAAAAGAAAAGUAGUUCACUAAAGUAAAUCAAAGAAAUCUGUUUGCUAAAUUAAUUUUGUAAUAGAUUAGCAACAAUAAUUUUUCAUAAUUAUUAUGCCAUUGCUAAAUUAGUAAAGAA